rnacentral:lncRNA from 1 species
AAUAGUUGUAAUAGGACCAAAAUUGUUUUAAUAAAGAUUAAAAUGAAUAUUUAUAUGUGAUGAGACCUAAAAAACCCUCAACCAAACCAUUAUUAAGUUGAGAAGCGUGAGAGUGCUUUGAACACUCUUUCGUGGCCUUCCACCGUGGUAGGCUCCGAUCGUUUGUGACUCGUACACCGGCUUCACCCUAUCAUGGGGGAGUACAAAGUGCAUGCUUACACUCAGGAGGAGUCUAUAUGCAUACUUGAUGUUGUGAAAGGUAGGCAACGAGAAUGAUCAAUAUCAUAUCAUUGUGAGGUUGUUCUUGAACCCCUACCCGAACUUGCAUGGUGGGAAUGACUUAACUAAGUGCAAUGGAGCCAAUAUCAUAUCAUUGUGAGGUUACAUUCUCUAGAGGCCAAAUAAGAUGGGUACUUGCAAGAGAUACAAAUGAGUAAGCGUACUCUCUCAUUAUUAUUAAUGCUAGCCAAUAUCAUAUCAUUGUGAGGUGGGCUUGGUAGUAGUGAGUGUCCCAUACCCUACUAAGAGUUUCCUCCAAAACUCUCGAAUUCUAGUGGGUGGUGCUAUUUGAUUUAAAGACCCAGAUCAAAUGGCUUAAAAUCAAUCGAUUUAUAUUCGUUAUGUAUUUAUUUACCAAUAUAUUUGCAAACGCUAUCCAACACUUGACAAAUAAAAGCCGAAAGCUUUAGUUUCCGGACUUGGUACUACAAAACCAUAGAUUGUCUUUAAUGGCUUGUAAAUGUACCUAAGUAGUCUCAUCCUCACAAUCUUCCUAUUGAUAAUGUAUCAUUAGAAGAAUAUGUUAGAAAAAGUCUAUCAUAAAGAGGACAACACUUUUAAUGUCAUAAUUCUUCAAUUACAAUUUGUUGUAUGAAGAAAUAAGAGUUGCUUUGAACAACUCUUAGUUAAAUGCAAACAUUAGUGUUUGUUUCUUUGUUACAUGAACAAGGAACUUUAGAAGUAAGCACAAGAGCAUGGACACUUUAUGGGCCAUGAUUCUUCACUUACAAAUUGUUGUAUGAAGAAAUGAGAGUUGCCUUGAACAACUCUAAAAGUUUGUUAUUAUGUUUAGAACAUAAUGGUUGUUUGACAAAAAUAGUCCAUCAACAUGGACUUAUGAUGAUUUUGAAUCAUUGAGUGUAGAAGUGAUAAACCACUUAACGAGACGGAAAUUAGGCUAGGACUUCACCUUUAUGUCCCUAUCCUAAUGGUUCACUAAGUUUAUUGUAAACUAUGUAGUGAACAAUAAACACAUGCUUUCCAAAAUGUUUGAUGUGUAUAACACAAUUGAAAUAAGUUUCAAAAGAGAUAGUGGGAGUUUAAGGACCAUGAGUAUUGUAGUCAAAGGAGAAGUCAAAUGAAGAAGAUAAAAUUAACUCCAAGGGAACAAACUUUCUUUAUGAAAGGAUGGACAUUGGAAGGGGUAUUUGCAAGAAAUGUCUUGCAAGUGUCAAGAACACACAUUUCGAAGGUGUUGUAAAUUGUUCUUGAAUAGUUCAAAACAGUUGGUUCUUCUACUUGAAUGCUUGAUUCCGUAUUAGUAACUAUGUUUUACAAUUGUUGUAAAAGUGUGACUAAUAAGAAGUAGAAGAUAUAUGAGAGAAGAAAAAGGUGCUUCACAUUCGGAACGCGAAUAAAAUAAAGAUCUCUGCGAAAGCAGAUAGUACUUACUUCCUCAUAUGAACUACCAAAGUAAUUGGAAAAACCAAAGAUUGUCUUUACAUUCCAAUUUUAAGGAACUUAAUUCCGUUACUAUAGUAGAGAUGGAUGAAUGUUUUGUUUGACAAAACAUUGUUCUUUAUUAGUCAAUGAUUGGAUUAUAGUAAUCUAAUUGAUUGUCUCUAUAGUAGAGAUGAUAUGGUAGUGUUAACUGUUUAGAAUAUAACGAUGCUUAAAACCCAAAAGGUUGCAAGGUAGUGACUAAUCCCAACUGAGUUGUGAUACCUCAAAAACAUAAAAUACGAGUUCGUCAUAGAUGGAUGCUUUGGAUCAUUAGAUCCGGAUCCAACACCUUCUUAUUAAAAUUGUAUAGAGGUGAAAUGUUCGAAUGUUUAUUCUUUUGGAAAGAAGAAAGAAUCACAAAGUUGUUGAGGUUAAUUCACUUAGAUGUUAGUGGCCCUUGUCCACAACAUAAUACUACUCAUGUUGUAUGACAUUCACCGAAGAUCACUCUCGGUUGGACUAUAGUUUAUUUUGAAUAAACACAAGUCCGAAUACUUUGCAAAAGGUUUCAAAGAAUUCAAGAAAUGUAAGUUGAUGAGUAAGAUGUCUAAAGUAUUUGCCUCCCUAGAUUUGAUCCAAGGAAAGAUAACACUUUAGAACAGUUUCCUUGAAAAAUAUCAAGGAAAGAAGCAUGAAAAGAUAAUGGAUUUCUCCAUUAGGAGAAGAACGAACUUGAAUAAGAUUUAGUUCAUUGGAUGUUAUCAAUUACCCAUAUAUAGGAUAUAUGCUUCUAAGACAAUAUGAUUGUCAAUUAGAAGAUCUUGCAAAAUUUUCAUGACUCCAUAAGAUGUAGUUGGAAAGAAAGACAAAUCUUAAUCAUGUUAAGAUUUGGGGUUGUGUGCUAAUAAGCAAUAUUUGUUUGGGAAUUAUCUUGUGGGUAUCCUUAAAUUAACAUUUGGAUAUCACUUCUAUAAACCAACUAACAAAUGUUGUUUGUUGGGUAGUUCAUUGUAAUCCUACACCAGGAUUUGCCUAAGAUAGAGCAAAUGAAAGAGAGAUAGAACUCAAAGAAUGGGUUCUUUGAGAAACAAGAUAGUGAUCAACAAAUAUAACAACCUAGUUCCUACACCACAAGCUCCAAGGUAGUCGAGAAGGAUUUAUAAACCGUCUCAGUUGAAUGGUUUGAACUUUAUGACUAUGUCAUAGAGUUACACCUCUUAAUUCGAAAGAAAUAAGAAUGAAAAUCCUUAUGACUACAUUGAGUGUAUAUACGAUAUAUACUCAAGGAAAUGGUAAAGUACCAUUUGACCCGAAAUAAUGAAACCUCCAUAGCUAAUUGGUAGCUUAAGGUGACUACAAUCAAAGAGAAUAGUUGACUUUGAAGAAACCAUCUUUGACGUAGUCUUAGUUUCAAUUAAUUCGAAGAUUGCUAGCUACAACUAAAUGGUGAUUCAAUGUUUGGACAUAAUAUGGGUUUCCGAAAACAUUAUUAAGAUAGUCUUGAUAAUAUAUGUCUAAAACUAUGAAUCACAAGACAUGUAAGUUGUAGAGAUCCAACCAUCAUGGAUCUUAGCAAGCUAGUGGGAGCUAUAAACGUCUUAUGAGAGAAAGAUCAAAUCGUUUGAUUUCUCAUAAAGAUGUAAAUGAAUCUUUUGUUUACUAGGUU